GUUCAGCAGGGGACAAGGCCUGAACUCUGCAUUCCUGAGCAGCUCCGGGGGAAGCGCAGGUGAUGGCCACGUGACAGUUCCGCUGCGCUCAGAUCUCGGACUGCAGAGGCCAACCUAAGAGUUUCCGCUGCUUGGGACCCUGUGGCCACAUGGCCUGGUCUGGGUUUCACAGGUGUGGCCUCUUGGGGACCCUCUGACUGACCAUCUCAUUUCGCUCUGGCUGAAGCCCAAGAGGUUCCUGCGACCUGUCCAGGGUCACAGAGCUGGUUCCUGAAUAAUUGGGAAGAGAUGCACCCCUUCCACGGCCCAGAAAUGUUUUCCAAAGACUGUUCAAGAAAGGAAGGCCGAUGCCGGUAUGCCACUGAGAAGGUCAUCUAAGUCCAGCUCAAGGUCAUCAAAACCCACGGUUGCUGCAAUCAUAGAAGAGGACCCCAAGCAGUGGAUUAGUUCUGCCUUCUUCCGCCAAGGAAUACUGGCAGUGAAAUCCAGUUGAACCAGCUACAGUGGAGAGUCUUGCUUGCUGACAUUACUGGCCUCUGGGUGAGAGUGGUUUCAUCACCACGGACGACCUACAUUUCACCAACUUUGCCCCCUGCCAUCUCAGGCUAGGACACUGUCCUCCGAGGGCUCCCUGCCAAGUGUGCCUGGACUCAGGGACUCCCACACAGCAGGAAAUUGGCUCCUUUGUGUGACUGGCUCAGGUCGGACAGCUGCUUCCAUGGUAUCCGCCAGACAUAUGGGACCAUCCUCCACCUCAGAGCCCUCCACAGCCCCCAGGUUCCAGCUGUGGUGACCGGCAGGAGGCUGCUGCAGACCCUGGGCUGCCCAGGUGGCCCCAGAUCUCAAAGCUUCUCUGGACGGACUGCAUGGCGCUCCCUCUGGGCCACAGAGAGUGCCCCCUGCCUCCCAGGCCAAGCCAACCCUCCCUUUGUCUCCCAGGAAGCGAGUUCUUCAGCUCUUGCCGGAGAGCCUCUGGCAGACCAGCGACCCCUGCUCACCUCUCCAGCCACCUGGGCAGAAAGCCUUUCUUUGUUCUAUUUCAGCCCAAACCAACCAACCUGCCGAGGCCAAGCCUAUGACUCAGACACAUGGAGGUCGCACAGUUCAUCCGCUGUGCCCAAAUGUGGGUAGACUCGGGUUUGGGACCUGCUAAGAGCCUCCCUUUGGAGAGGGAGCUGGUGGUGUCAGGACUCCCUCCCGAGCACUGACUGGCUUUGUUAUCUGGGGCCAGUGACGGCGUCUCUCUGUUCCUUUUGUUUCCUGUCCGCCAAACGUAAAUAAUGGCAACCCAACCUCAUAGGGUAGUUGUAGACUGAAAUGUG